rnacentral:lncRNA from 1 species
ACACUCUCGGAUGAUUGAGGGAACUGAGUUUUGUCUCUGAGUCCAUUCAGUCAAGUGAAUCUCCUGUUUCUGGAAUUAUCAAGAAGACUACAGAAAAUUAUAGGAGUGACUCCGAAAUGCUAUGGAAGAGAUUCCUGCAUUGUCAUGCAUAAAGGCAGAUAUGAGACCUGAAACUGGGGCAGCCAUUGCGAGACCCUGAUGACAGCCAGCCCAAUGGCAAUGCAGACACACACAGCAUGGUGGCAUGAGAUCAUGUCCUAAGAAAUGAGAGAAUUUGAUGUCAUCGUGUGCUGCAGUCAGCCAGCCUUGGAACUCACCAUACCUCUGGACUGCUUGAUAGGGUUCCAGUUCACCUUCCAAUCACCAUUAGACGAAGUUACUCAUUUUUCCAAAAGCAGAGAACAAGAUUGCAGAAGACAACUUGACGUUCCAUUUUAGGAACCAAUAACCCUCAUAUUUGGAAAUUUCAUUACUACACUUUCAGAGGGGAGAAGGCUUUAGGAGGGGGUCUGUGUCGUGCCAGCAAAGACUGCCCCUGUGCCAUGACAGCUCCAUCAGGAAGCCUCCUCUCUUCUCAUCUGCUGCUCCCAAUCUUUCUCCUGAGCACCAGAAAUUACCUUGAGAAGAAGCCUGAAAAGGUGCAUGGUGUCCAGAAGCAUCUCCUCCAG